rnacentral:rRNA from 1 species
UAGGGAAUCUUCCACAAUGGGCGAAAGCCUGAUGGAGCAACGCCGCGUGUGUGAUGAAGGCUUCGGUCGUAAAGCACUGUUGUAUGGGAAGAACAGCUAGAAUAGGAAAUGAUUUUAGUUUGACGGUACCAUACCAGAAAGGGACGGCUAAAUACGUGCCA